rnacentral:rRNA from 1 species
ACGAACGCUGGCGGCGUGCUUCACACAUGCCAGUCGAACGGAAAGGCCCUGCUUUUGUGGGGUGCUCGAGUGGCGAACGGGUGAGUAACACGUGAGUAACCUGCCCUUGACUUUGGGAUAACUUCAGGAAACUGGGGCUAAUACCGGAUAGGAGCUCCUGCUGCAUGGUGGGGGUUGGAAAGUUUCGGCGGUUGGGGAUGGACUCGCGGCUUAUCAGCUUGUUGGUGGGGUAGUGGCUUACCAAGGCUUUGACGGGUAGCCGGCCUGAGAGGGUGACCGGCCACAUUGGGACUGAGAGACGGCCCAGAGUCCUACGGGAGGCAGCAGUGGGGAAUAGUGCACAACGGGCGGAAGCCUGAUGCAGCAACGCCGCGUGCGGGAUGACGGCCUUCGGGUUGUAAACCGCUUUCGCCUGUGACGAAGCGUGAGUGACGGUAAUGGGUAAAGAAGCACCGGCUAACUACGUG